GUCUGCUCCUUUCAGGCUGGCUGUUGGGACAGGAGGCUUCCAGGGUUCACACCAUCUUCCACAUAAUAGGGUAGCAUUUUACACCCAUCCUCUGCCUGGCAGGUGGCAAUGACGUCAUGUUUGAAGUCAGCCCAAGCAAGCAUCAUGUGUAAGACAGCAAGAGCCUGCAGCAGCUUGAAGCUCCAUCUGGCUAAUGGAGAACACACUCUUGGGGUACGUAUUGGUUCCUAACUCUCGUCUUCCCUGGUCCGACAGCUGGGGUGAGAUGCUUUGCUCAGCCUGCUGAGCCACCAGCAAUCUGGAAGAUUUCUCUCUGACCUGAGAAGGCUGGAUUUCCUACUGAGAGUCUGCAAAGUGACCCAUUGUGAUGGAGCCACAUCCACCAGCAACGAAUGACUGUCCAUUCAUGGCUGAGUCAAAGGUCUGCUGGUAAACCCUUUCCUUCUAAGAAACCCCCAUUAUCAGGAGGACACUCUAUGAGGAUUGGACUUGUGACUCCAGGAGCAGUUUCCCCUCGGGUUCACUUAAGCAAAAGGCUACAAAAAAUACGAACCACGGUACUCCCGUUCAUGCACGGCUUGAUGGUUUUCCUGAAGAUGUGCUAUCCUUCUGUCUCUGCCCUUUUCUCUCCUCUCUUCCCCUUCAAAUGA
rnacentral:lncRNA from 1 species